rnacentral:misc_RNA from 1 species
UCAAACUUGGUCAUUUAGAGGAAGUAAAAGUCGUAACAAGGUUUCCGUAGGUGAACCUGCGGAAGGAUCAUUACAGAGUACCGGUGCCCCCGGGCGCCUACUCCCACCCUUUGUGUACCUUACCUCUGUUGCUUCGGCGGGCCAGGCGCCCUCCAAGGCGCCGCCGGCCUCGCGGCUGGAGAGCGCCCGCCGGAGUCCAUUUCAAACUCGCUCAACCCAAACUCCGAGUAAGAAAACGAAUAAAUCAAAACUUUCAACAACGGAUCUCUUGGUUCUGGCAUCGAUGAAGAACGCAGC